AUUGAACGCUGGCGGCAGGCCUAACACAUGCAAGUCGAGCGGAAACGAUGGAAGCUUGCUUCCAGGCGUCGAGCGGCGGACGGGUGAGUAAUGCAUAGGAAUCUGCCCGGUAGUGGGGGAUAACCUGGGGAAACCCAGGCUAAUACCGCAUACGUCCUACGGGAGAAAGCAGGGGAUCUUCGGACCUUGCGCUAUCGGAUGAGCCUAUGUCGGAUUAGCUAGUUGGUGAGGUAAUGGCUCACCAAGGCUGCGAUCCGUAGCUGGUCUGAGAGGAUGAUCAGCCACAUCGGGACUGAGACACGGCCCGAACUCCUACGGGAGGCAGCAGUGGGGAAUAUUGGACAAUGGGCGAAAGCCUGAUCCAGCCAUGCCGCGUGUGUGAAGAAGGCUUUCGGGUUGUAAAGCACUUUCAGUGGGGAAGAAAUCCUCGGGGCCAAUACCCUCGAGGGAGGACAUCACCCACAGAAGAAGCACCGGCUAACUCCGUG
rnacentral:rRNA from 1 species